GGUGAACGCUGGCGGUAGGCCUAACACAUGCAAGUCGAACGGCAGCACAGUAAGAGCUUGCUCUUACGGGUGGCGAGUGGCGGACGGGUGAGGAAUACAUCGGAAUCUACUUUUUCGUGGGGGAUAACGUAGGGAAACUUACGCUAAUACCCCAUACGACCUACGGGUGAAAGCAGGGGAUCUUCGGACCUUGCGCGAUUGAAUGAGCCGAUGUCGGAUUAGCUAGUUGGCGGGGUAAAGGCCCACCAAGGCGACGAUCCGUAGCUGGUCUGAGAGGAUGAUCAGCCACACUGGAACUGAGACACGGUCCAGACUCCUACGGGAGGCAGCAGUGGGGAAUAUUGGACAAUGGGCGCAAGCCUGAUCCAGCCAUACCGCGUGGGUGAAGAAGGCCUUCGGGUUGUAAAGCCCUUUUGUUGGGAAAGAAAAGCAGCAGGUUAAUACCCCGCUGUUCUGACGGUACCCAAAGAAUAAGCACCGGCUAACUUCGUG
rnacentral:rRNA from 1 species